GAGUUGAAGACGAACCGAAACUCAAGGGAAUUGACUGAGUUUCUGUAGAGUUUGUUAUCUAUCACAUGAAUGGACUAGCUCAUGUAAUCUUUUAAGUUACACUAUUAUCUCUGCAAAUUUAUGUACAAACAUCUCCCAUCUUAAAACCCACAUAUAAAGCAAAACAUAAGACUACAUAGAAGGGAUAAUUAAUGUCAUUUUAAUGCCAUUUGAUGAUUCAUAAAUAAUGACCAUCUCACAGCUUCAGAUUUCUAUUUUCCUGUCCUGACAGCCAAUGUCCAUAUGUUUUAGGUAUUUUUUUCCCAUUCUUGUCAUAUAUGUCGAGAACGUCUUGAUGAAUUUCUACAAAUUUGGCACAGAUCAUUCACUUGGACUUAAAUGUGACCUGAUUAGAUUUUGGUGGUCAACGGUCAAUGUCACUGUAGCCUCACAAGCAAAUUAUUUUGUGAACAUGACACAGUAUCUCCGGAACACCUUGAGGGAAUCAUUUCACAUUUAGUUGGACUCAAGAGUUAAUUUAUUUGAUCCACUUUGAUUCAAAGAUGAAUAUGUUAGAUUUCAGUGGCCAAAGGUCACAGUGACUGGAAAGAAAACAUUUACAUUUCUUUUAUCAUUCCUUUAUCAUUCCUU
rnacentral:misc_RNA from 1 species